rnacentral:rRNA from 1 species
UAGGGAAUCUUCGGCAAUGGGGGGAACCCUGACCGAGCAACGCCGCGUGAGUGAAGAAGGUUUUCGGAUCGUAAAGCUCUGUUGUUAAGGAAGAACGAGUGUGAGAAUGGAAAGUUCAUGCUGUGACGGUACUUAACCAGAAAGGGACGGCUAACUACGUGCCAGCAGCCGCGGUAAUACGUAGGUCCCGAGCGUUGUCCGGAUUUAUUGGGCGUAAAGCGAGCGCAGGCGGUUAGAAAAGUCUGAAGUGAAAGGCAGUGGCUCAACCAUUGUAGGCUUUGGAAACUGUUUAACUUGAGUGCAGAAGGGGAGAGUGGAAUUCCAUGUGUAGCGGUGAAAUGCGUAAAUAUAUGGAGGAACACCGGUGGCGAAAGCGGCUCUCUGGUCUGUAACUGACGCUGAGGCUCGAAAGCGUGGGGAGCGAACAGG